GGAGGGUAUAGCUCAGUGGUAGAGCACAUGCCUAGCAUGCACGAGGUCCUGGGUUCAAUCCCCAGUACCUCCA
rnacentral:tRNA from 1 species